AUUAUAGUUGAUUUACAUGUUCUGUCGAGUUCUGCUGUACAGCAGAGUGACCCAGUCAUGAAUGUAUAUACAUUUUCCAUUUCUUAGCCGUAUUUCUCUAUUUGCUACUAGUUUUGGACACAAAGCCUGCGGGUUCACAGGGCCUGGGGCUCACACUCUUUCCUUUCCUGGUCCUGGCUUUGGACCAGCAGGGACAAGUUGUAUCACGGAGGUUGUCGCUCUAACCCCCACAGAGACAAAAUAGUGUGUCUCUCCACCUCCCUGAGCCUCAGGGUUCAGAAUUACGCCCCUUUGAGGGCUGGGAGGUGGUCCUGGUUUCCGGGGGUCUCAGGGGGCAUUGUUGUCACACCCUCCUUCCUGAGCCCCGACCAGGCACUGAUUCCCUGGCUGCUGGUUCUGACCCAGCCAGUCUGCCCAGCAGUAGGUGCACUGGUGUCCCUGGCAGGAAGAGAGUAUCCACGAUGCCUCUCUUCCCGAUGCCAGGGUGAGACCACCGAUGGGGCUGUCGCCCCCGUGGGAACUCGGGACUUGGUCCUGGGGGCCCUGGACUCUGCUUAACCUCCCUGCCAUGUAUAUGAUGAACCACCGAGGACAGGGCAGGGCUUCAGCAUCUGGUUCUUUGGCCUUGAAGCUUUCUUCCAAGCCUCUGCUGCCUCCUCCCUUAACUAACUUUUCUAACCUUGGGGUUGGGGGUCCUUCUGGUCUUAGGUGCUGCCUGAGCUUCCAGGCUCCUUUUCCUUCGAUGAACCUGGGCAUAGCUGCUCCCGAGGACCCUGGGAGCUCCGUUGUCCUUUCCAGGGUGUUUACAGCCUUGAGCUGAGGUUCUGUGCCAGUGACAGGCUGUGGCUUUUCUGUUGACACCAUCUGCCCGGGCCCCCCAGCUUUCCUCGUGCCAUCUUGGUGGAGCGGCCCAGCCUUAGCUGAGAAGUCCCUUUCGAGACCUGGCUGUGUGUCUCCAGAAAACACUGCUGGUCUUCGGGACCAGGUGGCUUCUGUCAUUUGCUUUCUGUCCUUCCUCCCCCAGCGCCUGUUUCUGAUUAGGGGUUUGGUUUCCAGAGGAUUCUGGUCAGGAGACAGGCAGGAGCUACUGAUCUGGCCAAUUGUAUCUGCCAUAUACUUUUCUUCUAGCUUAAAGAUGAUACUUUUUCUUAAAAACUCAGUGUCCAUAGAUACUGAUUUACAAAGUCAUUUUCCACACCUCUCUUACCCGAUAGCAGGGGUCCUGCAGAGAUUGGUGACUUAGGGCUGAGCUCACAGCUUUGCGUGGAACUCGCUCCCGUCUGAGAGACCCCACCCCCUGCAAGCAUCCUGAGGUCUGUGCUGCUCUGAUUAGUCAUUCGUGUUCCCUUGGGGAGGGUUUCCCUGGACCCAGCACUGUCCAUAGGAGGCAGAGGUCCCUAGGAGGUGGAUGGGUGGGUGCCUUCCUUUUGGGGAGCCCUUUGGCAGCUGUGGUCAGGGCACACUCCCGGCCCUGUUUUAGGGGCAAAUGAGGAGUGUAGUGGGCUCAGCAGCAGAGUCCUCCGCUUCCCGUAGGAGCCCAGAUGCAAUCAAUCGCCAGCCUUUGCCGGGGGCUUUGGAGUCCUUGGAGCUGCCAGGGUCUCCUGUGAUCACAUCUCGGUGGGCCGCUGGCCGACCUCUCUGGGCAUCGCUCUACUUCUGCUGUGGGUGGGGUCUACCACCUGACCAGGGCCCUCCAGCCCUCAGCCCUGGAAGUGUGGGGCAGGCCGCCUCCAAUAGGCUCCCCCCACCCCACUCCCCACACUCAGCAGCUCGAGCUGCCACACUCGCUUUGCCCAGGGAGCCCAGCACACAUGCUAUGUGGGUUUGCUCAGACUGCCAGAAUAAAGUUCCACAGGCUGGGCACUGAAAUAAUAGCCAUUUAUUUUUUCGCGGUUCUGGAGGCUGGAUGUUCAAGAUCAGGGUGCUGGCAGGGCCGGUUUGUGCGAAGGCCUCUCUCCUCCUCUUGCAAACAGCCGUCUUCUCCCUGUGUCCUCAGGUGGCUUUCCUUCUGCAUGUGUCUGUGUCCUGAACUCUUCUUAUGAGGACACCAGUCAUGUUGGAUUAGGGCCCAGCCUAGUGACUUCCUUUUACUUGAGUCACUCUUUCAAAGAGCCUGCCUGCACGGCCACAUCCUGAAGUACUGGGGGUUAGGGCGUUAACAUAUGGAUUUGGGGCGGGGGCGACAAUUCAGCUCAUAUUAUGCACUCUUAUUCCUGUCUGAAUCCCCAUGAGUUCUGUCUGUGCCUGUUACUGAACCGUACGGCCUGAUCAAGGGUGUGUGGGAUGUUAAAAAAUAAUAAGAUUUGUGUAAGUUUGGAAUCAAUUGGGGACAUCGGAGAAUUUUUUUGGCCACACCUGUGGCAUGCUGAAGUUCCUGGGCCAGGGAUCAAACCCGAGCCAUAGCAGUGACUCGAGCCACUACAGUGACGAUGCUGGAUCCUUAACCCACUGAGCCACCAGGGAACUCCACAACAUUAUUCUUAAGAGUGGUGUCUUAACAAAAAUAAUGAAUCCAUAUUACACUUAAUUUUUCUUAAUAAGAAUUUUGGGGUUUCCUGGUGGCUCAGCAUGCUAAGGACCCAGUUUUGUCAUUGUUGUGGGCUCUUUUAUUGCCAUGGCACGGAUUUGGUCUCCAGCCCAGGAACUUCUGCAUGCUGUGGCCAUGGCCCAGAGAAGUUGUUUGAAACCCCUCCACAACUCUGCCUUGUAAGAUGUCUCUUAUACAUGUUUGAAAGGUGAGGAAUUCAGAGAGAGGUUGCCCAGGCCACUGGAGUUAUUAGUAUCUGGCAGAGCUGGCGUUUGACCUGGAGUCUGAGUGACUCCUGACUUGUUAGGCCUGCCCAUUGGGGUAACUGCUUCCACUGCCCCUCCACCUCCCUUUUAUUUCUGUGGAGCUGGGAUCUCUGGAGGGGAGUGAGCGUUCAGAGCUGCAGAUCUCUAGGGCUUGGCCCUACCCUGGGGUACCCGCUGGGCUGGGCAGGGCUGCCAGAUACUUAUUCAAACAGUGGCUCUAAUGUCCCCUCCAUCUGGCCUGUGAGCCUCCUCCCAGGGCAGGGAAUUCCAGAAGUGAGUCAGGGCCAGGGCCCCGGGGCCACCUCCCAGGGUCUCUGAAGCAUCCUUUCCGUAACUCUCAGUGGGGCCCAGAUGGGUGCAGGGUGGGGCGGUACCGACAGGCUAGGGGUGUGUGUGUGUGUGUGUGUGUCCCUUAGGGGACCUAGUGAGGCAGACCUUCUGCUCAGUUGCUUGUGUCAGCAGUGCCAGGGACAUAGAAGGGAUUCAAAUUUCUUUUCACUUCAGUGAGGUAGGAGGAGGGACCGACUUGACUCUGUACUGCCUUCCAAUGCCCUGACCUUAAACUUCAGCGUCCCAUCCCCAGCCUCUCUAGUGACACUCCCCCCCUCCCACACCACAUGGCCCCUGGAGAACUUGUGAUGAGAAGCAGCUGAGCUCCUGGAUUAGCCAGGCUUCAGCCAGAUCAAGCAAGAGAUACGUAUGCAGACGUUGAUAGACGUCCACACACACACAGGCACACACGCACAUGGAUACGCAGAUAUGUGUGUAGACAGACAUUCACAGACACGUAAUGCACACAGACACACAUAUACAUAGACACACAUGUAGGCACACACAGCGUACACACACAUGCACAAAUAGAUACGUGUUUUGAAGGGUUUUUGCAGGGCAUUGGUCUUCUGUAUCACGGGGCUGGUUAAACAGCCUCUGUUAUGCUGUCAUCUGUGCAUCUGAUUCUGGAGCUUGAAGCCCACAGGGCGGGCAGGGUCGGGGAGGGAAGAUGGUGAGCUGGAAGCCCAAGAGGAUGGACUGGAGUUGCCCUUGACCUUGGUGGUGUGGGCAUCCUGUGGAAGCUGGGGCCCUAUACCCAGAGUGCUUUAUAUGCUUACCUGGCCCGGGGGUCAGAGGAGGUGAAGGGGGCUUUUGCAGCUGAAGGAGGAUGUGGGGGCAGGGAGCAGCUGUGGCAGGACACUGUGUCACGCUGGCAGUGAGGUGCAAGGAGGACGAGGUGGCCACCACUUCUCUCUUACCCUCCUGCCUUCCACCACUCUUCCUAUGAUUCAUCCUCACCAGAACACCUAAGAAUAUAACUUCUGGAAACCGAGGGCCCGCCUCAGCAAGGUGACACAUCAGACACCCACCCCACCACCGGAGAGUUGGGAGAACUGAUGGCAAGACAGCAGGUUUGGGGAGUCAGAACGAUCUGAAUUUAAGGAAAUGGUCUCAUCUGUGCCUCUUGCAUGAAGAAGGAGUCAUAACGCAAAUGCCCGCUUUGCAGGGGGUUACUGAUUGCGAGGAUUACAGAGAAUCAGGGAUGCCAAGCCUGUCACUUUGCUCCUGGGCCCAGGGCAAGAAAUCUCAGGCCUUUCACAGUUCUUAACACUACCCAGGACCAUAAUAUCACCACAUAAUGAGGUUUCACUCUGUCUGCUCCAUAAAUGCCUCCUUCACCCAGGGCUUGUGUACUCCCUGCAUUAAGUUCAGCCCUAGGAAGCUGAUGUUUCUUCCUGUUACUGUGAAUGAAAUUUAAUUAUGUUUCUAAAUUGGUUAUUGAUGAUAUAAGGUCCCAGAAGGCUGUUAAUAAAUAAUCAUGCUCUGUCUUUAAUGGGAAUUCCUCUGGGGUUUCCUCGUAACUCUGAUCCUGGCUGUGGGUUUUAGAUAGCAUGUAUAUGUUCUCUUUAGCAUUUUCACACCCUUUUUAUGUGUGUUUUUCUGUGUCCUCCUGGAGAGUAUAAGAUUAAGCUGGUCCUGGGGUUCCCUUGUGGCACAGGAAGUUAAGGAUCCGGCAUUGUCAUUGCUGUGGUGUGGGUUCCAUCCCUGACCUGGGAACUUCCGCAUGCCAAGGGU
rnacentral:lncRNA from 1 species